ACUAUAUUUUUACGGUGCGUUUUUGAUGGGGACAACGCAGGAGGUGGAGCCAGCGCUUGAUCAAUUUAGGUUAUGUACUUCCAAAGCCCAGCGUGUAGAAAUUCCCGAUUUCCCUCUCUGCAACAGCGGAUGUUGUUCGGUGCUUUCCAGGAUGUUGUGCACAAAUUUGGCGUCGAACAUGCUAUCGAUUACAGAUUACAGAUUAUAUUGUCAUCUUCGGUGCAAGAUAUUUCAUGCCUCGAACUUGUAAGCACGCUCGCAACACUUCACUCAUAGGGGAGGAGAAGACCGCCAGCUGUCAUCGAGAGAAAAAGUGAACUCAUUGAAAUUUCACACCCCCAU